rnacentral:rRNA from 1 species
UACGUAGGGUGCAAGCGUUGCCCGGAAUUAUUGGGCGUAAAGAGCUCGUAGGCGGCUUGUCGCGUCGGCUGUGAAAACCUGGGGCUCAACCCCGGGCCUGCAGCCGAUACGGGCAGCUAGAAUUCGGUAGGGGAGGACUGGAAUUCCUGGUGUAGCGGUGAAAUGCGCAGAUAUCAGGAGGAACACCGGUGGCGAAGGCGGCAUCCUGGACCAAUUCUGACGCUGAGGAGCGAAAGCCAGGGGAGCAAACGGG